UGGCAAGCCUCUUUGUAUAGA
rnacentral:misc_RNA from 1 species